rnacentral:rRNA from 1 species
CGUAGGGUGCGAGCGUUAAUCGGAAUUACUGGGCGUAAAGCGUGCGCAGGCGGUUUUGUAAGACAGAUGUGAAAUCCCCGGGCUCAACCUGGGACCUGCAUUUGUGACUGCAAGGCCUAGAGUACGGUAGAGGGGGAUGGAAUUCCGCGUGUAGCAGUGAAAUGCGUAGAUAUGCGGAGGAACACCGAUGGCGAAGGCAAUCCCCUGGACCUGUACUGACGCUCAUGCACGAAAGCGUGGGGAGCAAACAGGAUUAGAUACCCUGGUAGUCCACGCCCUAAACGAUGUCAACUGGUUGUUGGGUCUUUACUGACUCAGUAACGAAGCUAACGCGUGAAGUUGACCGCCUGGGGAGUACGGCCGCAAGGUUG